GACAGAGGGUGCAAACGUUGUUCGGAAUUACUGGCGUAAAGCGAGUGUAGGCGGUGUGGUAAGUCGGAUGUGAAAGCCCCGGGCUCAACCCGGGAAGUGCACUCGAUACUGCCACGCUAGAGUAUCGGAGAGGUUGGUGGAAGUUCUCGGUGUAGAGGUGAAAUUCGUAGAUAUCGAGAGGAACACCGGUGGCGAAGGCGGCCAACUGGACGAAUACUGACGCUGAGACUCGAAAGCGUGGGGAGCAAACAGG
rnacentral:rRNA from 1 species